ACCAGUUGAAAAUCCCCCAUUUUAUAAACCACCGGUAGAGAAACCACCUGUGUAUAAACCACCAAUAGAGCAACCUCCAAUUUAUAAGCCACCUGUAGAAAAUCCUCCAAUUUAUAAACCACCAGUAGAGAAACCACCCGUGUAUAAACCACCGUUUGAGAAACCUCCAAUCUACCAUCCACCAGUAGAGAUACCACCAGUGUACAACCCACCAGUUGAACAUCCUCCAAUUUACAAGCCUCCUGUAUACAAACCACCAGUAGAGCAACCUCCCGUCUAUAAGCCACCAGUAGAGAAGCCUCCAAUUUACAAGCCACCAGUAGAGAAACCUCCUGUUUACCAACCUCCUGUUUACAAGCCCCCAGUUGAGAAACCUCCAGUGUACAAGCCACCUGUAGAAAAGCCACCAGUGUACAAGCCACCUGUAGAAAAGCCACCAGUGUACAAGCCACCUGUAGAAAAGCCUCCUAUAUACAAACCACCAGUAGAGAAACCACCAGUGUACAAACCACCCGUUGAGAAACCCCCGGUUUAUAAGCCACCAGUAGAGAAACCACCUGUGUACAAGCCACCAGUUGAGAAGCCCCCAAUUUACAAGCCACCAGUAGAGAAACCACCUGUAUACAAGCCACCAGUUGAGAAGCCUCCAGCUUACAAGCCACCAGUUGAGAAGCCACCUGUAGAGAAACCACCAGUGUACAAGCCACCGGUUGAGAAGCCCCCAAUUUACAAACCACCAGUUGAGAAGCCUCCAGUGUACAAGCCACCGGUUGAGAAACCACCUGUCUACAAGCCACCUGUAGAAAAUCCACCUGUUUACAAGCCACCAUUUGAGAAACCUCCAAUUUAUAAACCGCCAAUAGAGUAUCCACCCGUGUACAAGCCCCCUUUUGAGAAACCCCCCAUCUACAAGCCACCUGUAGAGAAACCUCCUUUUUACAAGCCUCCGUUUGAGAAUCCACCAUUUUAUAUACCUCCAGUUGAGGAGCCUCCUGUUUACAAGCCUCCAUUCGAGAAGCCACCAAUUUACACUCCUCCAUUCUAGAGCCCACCUUACCACCCAAAGUUCCCUCGGGCAGGCGAUGGUACUCGUUAAUAGAACAUGCUAUGAAGAAAAUAUGUUAAAUAAGAGAUAUAUAGAGUUUUUUAUUUAAUCAAGGAAUAUAUAUAUUCAUGUAAUCUUCAUUUCAAUACUUUGUUUACAAUACUCUUGCUAUGAUAAGAAUAUGAGUGAAAAACAGAGAAAGAAAAUAGUGUGCUUUUCUAUUCGAAAUUAUGAAUAAGAUUUCUAUGAUUUAGAUGUUGUGUUGGUUGACUAAAUCGUGAUACAUCGACAGAGGCAGAGCCCCUCAUGCGCCAAGGUGGGUCAUGGCCCACCCCCAAAUUUUGUUUCUUAUUAUAUAUAUAUUAUGUUUUGUAAAUUUUUGAUGUUUUUGUAGCAUGUUGUAGUGGUUAAGAGCCUUUUUGCCAAGUCGUAUGUGCUAGGUUCAACUCUUGCCAAAACCAUUUUUAUUUAUUCUUUUAUUUUCUUUUGUAUAAAAAAAAAACAUAAUUCAUAAUUGUUAAAAUAAUCCUUUUUUUUGUUACUUAAUCCUUUCUUUCUUUAAUAAAACAUAACUCCUUUAUUCGAUUUAAAAUAAUCUUUCCUUUCCUUACUCUUAUUUUUGGAUACAAUUGUCUCUUUACUCUUUUAUUUUAAUUUUUUUUUUAUACAAAGGGGACUUCAACUCUUUUUUGUCAAAAAACAUUCUCUUUUAAAACAUAUAACAUAUUUUUUAUACUUAGUCGUUUGAUUCAAUUCGAUUUUAUACCUAUACAUCUGUUUAUUGAAGUCGAGUCAUUUAAUUCAGUCGUUAGGUUCAAUGGCCUAGUUGUUCGAUCAAUUAUCUUGAACUUUAUCAAGGUUGAUAAACAGUUCAUAUUUUAAAAUACCGGUUUAAAUUAUAUUCAACAAAUAACAAAUUUAUAGUCAUUGGAACCAACCAAUAAUAAAAUGUACUUGUAAGAAAAUAAAGCCUCAUCACUAUUUAUGGCCCACCCUAUACUUUUUUCCUAGCUCCGCCACUUUACAUCUUCGUAUUCUUUAGGAAGUUUCAACCUUGUUGACUAUGACAACAGUGACGACUAUAACGAGACUCGCUAUUGACUAUGACAACAGUGACGACUAUAACGAGACUCCCUACUUUUUGGUUUGCUUCAACAGGUUCUCAACAUAAAUAACUAACCAAGUUAAUUUGCCUGUGAAAUGUGAUAUUAGUAAGGUGCAUGAAGGUUAAGUUCUUUAGCAAAGCUUAGUAUCUUGAAUUAAAGAAUAUCGUUAAUUAAACUAAAUAUUCAUAUUAGGUAUCACAAUUUUCAAGACUUUAUAUGUACGUGUUGAUCCAUUAAUUAAGAGAAAUUAGACUUUAGACCCGUGCGUCGCACGGGUCAUUUCGACUAAUAUAUAAUAAUAAGUAAUGGUAAAAAAAAUUCUAAAAUAAAUAAAAGAUGAAGAGUAUUAUACAUUUUACUUACUCAAGUUCAAAAAAUAAAGUAGGAGAUGACAUGAAAUCGUUUAGUUGAAACAAACGAAUAUUAAAAAAUAAAAAUUAGACAACGACAGGGAUCUAAAAUUCUAUUUCUAAUCCUUCACAUAUCAAAAUUACAAUUGGUUCUCUUCAUUGUAAUCAUCUAAACUUAAUUAAAAAAUUUACAAGUGCAAAUAGAAUCGACAUUAUACAAGUCACUACUUGAUUCCAAAAACCUAUGUUUCAUGAAAACCACUCAUACCUAAAUAACAAUAAUAAACCUUCAAAACAAAAAUCAACUAUUCUCAAAGGACCCAAAAGAAAGAUUUUUAGCCUUCUAAAUCACAAUUUCUCUUGUUGUAUUGUUUUUGUGUCAAAAGCACCAUAAGUUGAAUAGUAGGCUCAGACACAUGACUUUCCUCAUAAGACAAAAUCACCAGUUUUUUAUAGGUUGAAAAAAUAAAUCAAAUAUCCUUAACUUUCAAUAACGCUUAGAAACAACUGAAACUUUUGCAUUAUCUCAAUCCACAAACAAAAUUGAAGACCUUUAUAUUUGCUUUAGGCACCUUAAGGAAUUCUAUGUAAAUUGUUUUCCUGCAAUGAAAUGCUAAACACAAUGAGCAAAGAAGAAGAAUUAACAACAAUAUUUGGAUUGUUUUAUUUAGCUUACAAUUCUUUAAACUAAUCAANAACACAAUGAGCAAAGAAGAAGAAUUAACAACAAUAUUUGGAUUGUUUUAUUUAGCUUACAAUUCUUUAAACUAAUCAACAAAAAAUUAAAUUUGCAUUAUAUCCUCCACAAUAUCAAGAAUUUUUCAAAGGGAUCAUUCUAUUUGUAUGGCUAUGAUGAGAACUCAUGUGUGUCCAUGAAGACCAGCUCUACGGAUAACCAUGUUCAUAUUAACUAUUUUAGGAGUGAAAAUAGGAUUGGAUUGGAUUUAGUAGUGAGCUGUUGUUUUUGAUUUCAGAAGCAUUUGAAAAUAACAUUUUGAUUAAAUGGAAAUAAUAGGAAGAAUUUGUUAAUAAAAGUGAUUUUUUUUUUUUUUUUUAUGUUGAUCUUUUUAUUGUUGUGUUAGAAACAAAAUAGGACGAAAUUGUAUUUUUUUUUUUAUGUUUAUCUUUUUAUUGUUGUGUUGGAAACAAAAUAGGAGGAAAUUGUUAUAGGAAUAGGAGGAACGAUUUUUAAAGUUUAUCUCUUAAUUAAACAGGUUUAAUUGAACACGGGGGUAAUAACGUAAAAGUCAUCAUAAAAUCUAGGUUAAAAUUAGGUUAAAAAUUGGCUUACGGGUUAACUUUUAUAUAUAAAGAAGUCAAGAGAAUCUAGAUCUGUGAAGCCCCGAUACUUCAAAAUGGAUGAUGUAUCGUAUCCGCUGCGUAUUCUGUAUCGAUACCUGCCCGAUACUUCUCAAAUUUAUGAGUUUUAUUUGAUUCUUCGAAUUCGAAUUUUGAGAAUUUUAGGGUUUGAAGGUUGGUGAUGGAGGUGAAUCUGAGUUUAUAUUAAGAAUUGAUGAAGAAUUUAAGGAGAGUGCAGUGAUGGAUAGGUAACUGAGUAUGAAUUGGUAUGCAGUUUGGAAAAACAAAACAAGAGGCAGUAGCAGCACCCCCACCCUUCCUCUACUUCUUCGACAAUAUGAGUGUUAGAUUCAUUUUCCUAGGUGUGAUUUUGAGGCAGAUGAAUAUGUGUGAGAGAUUGUAGAGGAAGAUCUCAGAUAUAGCUUUUAGGGAUGAACAUGAAUGAAUGAAUUUGUAGAUGAAGAUGAAUGUUGUUUGAACAUUUAAUUAAGAAAUUUUUAAUUGUUUUUUGUUUUAAUAUUUGAAAUUAUUAAAUUGUAUUUUGAAAUUCAAAAAACCUGUUUUAAUGACAUGUAAAUGACAUUUUCCAAAUUGGCAAUGCCACAUAGGCAAAAUUUUACCACCUGUGCAUUUUUGGAUGUGAAAAUAGGGGGUAAGACUAAAACUGCAACAAAAAUGAUAAUUGAAAAACAAUUUUAAUCUGUUUUAAAAGGGCAGGACCAAUUUCCUGAGUAGGCCACAACACGAGGACCAAAAGUGUAAUUAAGCCUUAUAUUUAUGUUGAUGUGCUACAAGCUUAUGACUGGUUUCUUUUGUUUGAUAAUAUAUUUGCAUAUUAAAUAAAAUGGUUAUAAUUAUAUUCUACAUUUAAUUAUAUAAUUUUUUUAUUGACGUAUCCCAACCAUAUCGUAUCUUGAUUUUUGAAAUUUUUUCGUAUUGACGUAUCGGUGCAGUAUCGUAUCUCGUAUUCGGGCUUCAUAGAUCUAGACUAUUAAUUUUUUUGAUAAACAAGAUUAUUAUUAUUUUUUGACAAAAACAAAGUGAGAUUCAUUCAUUCAAAUUGAUAGAGUACAUCAGAUACAAACAUUGCUAAAAACGUAAAGGAUAAAUCUAUGAACAAACUCACAACACUAAAGUUCAUACAACAGCAAAAUGUCUACAAAUAAUAUGAUAAAAUCUAAGUCACCAAAAUAUUCAUGCUUCCGGGUAUGCAACGUUGGCGCCCAAAUCAUUGAUUGAAUUUGUAAUUGACUAAUGUCGAUCUUUCAACAUGAACUAAACGAACACCGCGUCAAGACGCGAAAUCAAACAUCACAUAAGACCACUAACAACACAAUGCCACAAUUAGAUGACGAAAUCACAAAAACUCAAAAGGGAAAACUUGAUAUAUGUGAAAACCAUUUGUUUAGAUCGAAAGAAAAGAGAAAAAACGAUGUAGAGGGGUGAUUUUAGGUCAAAAAUGACCUAAAACCAGUUCUUUUUAAUAAACGAAGGAGAAAGAAUGUUUAGAGAGAAGUUGGAGUUUUUUUUUACUUAAAAAAUUAGGAUAAGCAAAAUUAUUAUAGAGGGAUAAAGGGCUCCCCAACCCAUAUACAAAAUGAUGGUUGCAAUGCCAUGUAGAAAAUAAAAAGAUAACAUUGCCUUUCUUUUUACAAUUAAACUAGUUACAAACCCGUGCGUUGCACGGGUUUAAUAACGUAUUUUAUAAAAAAAAAAUCUUUUAAAAGAAAAAUGAGCAAAUUAAUGAAUAUUGCACAAACAUUAUAAAUCUUUAUCAAAAUAUUUAUGAAAGCUUUAUCAAGUCUUUAAUACACAUUAAUAUUUGUGAUGAUUGAUAAAAGAAUUAAAAAGAGUAAAGGGUAUAGAAAUAAAUUUAUUAAAGAAUUAACAAUUUGUUUAAACUUAUUUUUGUUACAAUUUAGACCAAAAAAAAUAUUGGACUUCAUUGAGUUUCUCUAUAAUUUUUUUAUCAGGCUUGAAGUUAUGACUCUGAGUUUGAAAACCGCAAAAUUCACAAAAAUUAUUGAAGAAACACUAUAAACAAAUAAACGGCAUCGUCAAAAAUGAAAUCAUAUUUGGCUAUAGUGAUCAAGCAAACAAAAAAAAAGAAGCAUAUUAAAUACCUAUAAUCAAUGGAUUCUAAUUGCAUAGAGGCGACACUUAUACUUUCUCUAUGUUUGUUCAUCAAUGAGAGUGAUUAUUUUGCGCUUUCCUUUCAGAAUUGUUCUUGACACCUAGUUUGGGAAAUGCUAAACAGGGAAAUAACUGUAAUAUUAAUCUAAUGCAUAUUAACAUGGAUAAGAUGUAUGCGAAUAUAGUUAUAUAUAACUUAUGAAAUGAAGGUAACAUAACUGAUUUUAAGCUAAAGAAAAUGUACCAUGACUUCUAAUUUAUCUUUCUAUUAUCUUCCUAUAAAGUCUAGAGAAAUGCAUGCAUGUGCAUUAUAUGUACCCCGUUGACCAAUUAACAUUUUUGAAACAAAUGAAAAUUAAGCAUCACUCCCGCAUGUGCAUCUAUAGCUAACACCAUUUGACAUUGAUGUCUUCGAACAUUUGGUGCAACUCUCAUAAUACCAUCCAAACUGGUUAGGAUUGAAUUUAGUUGUUUUUCCAAAUAGUGAUGGAGUAUGUAUCCUAACACAAAUUAUGCACGUGAAAUAAAGAAUAGUGCAAUAUGCAUUUUUAAUUUGUGCGUAAAAAAAUUCAAAGCAUGUUUGUGAAAAAAAAAAAAAAAAACAGACCUUGACUAAGUUUAUAGAUUCAUCAAUUGGCCUAACUUGAGACAGAUUGGAAAAAUCGUUCUACGAAGUACUUUUUAAACUUUACUUUUUAAUCUAUCUGAGCUUGAGAAGUGUUAAGUUCACGACAACAAUUCAAGAAACAUGGUCAAUAAACAAUCAAAUCAGAUUGUGAAAUAAUAAGUUACUCUAACACUGUAUUGUGAAAUCAUAAUGCAAACUUACUAAGUCUUAAACUUUUCAACAACCGGAUGAUGUAGGUUGAUGAGCAGCCUCGAACCUGACCAAUUGUUACAUCUAUUUGCGUUGUCAUUGACUACAAAAUAGAAGCAAAGAAUUCAAGGUAAAUAAAUGGUAAAUGAUAAAGCUACAAAGUAUUUUACCCAUAAUGUUACAUCAACUAUAUUCCCAAUGCUCUAAAUCUCUAUAUCGAGUUAUUACAUGAACUCGAUCACCCUAAAUCCGAGAAAGAAACCAAAAAAUAUAAAUAAAUCAAAAUGUAUACUAAUAAGUAACAUUGAUAAAUCAUAAAAGAAAUUACUACAAAUCUUAACUAACUUAUCUAACCUUUGCAUCACAAAUAAUGAGCUUCAUAUGUUGAUUCUCAUUACUACCAGUCACAAUUCAAGAAUCCAGUACUCCAAAUCCUAUUUUCCAAACGUCUAAAUCAUUUUUGAGAUACUUAAUGUAGUCAUAAUCCCUUGACAUUGAAAUUCAUAUAUAGAAAUACAAUAAUACAUCAUUUAAUUUUAUUCCCUUUGUUCAUUCUGAUAUCGAAAGAAGCUAACAUAUUUCUAUGUGAUCAAUUUUUGUAUCAUCAAAUUAACCUGAUCUUAAAUGUACAAAUUUCUAUCAUCAACUUUCUGGACCCCAAUGAUAUGAUCAAAACAAAUUUACACCAAUCAACUUUUUGCACGGCUCAAUGAUAUACGAAAGAAUAAAUAAAAUAUGAAAACUGUUACAGCUUUAGGAUUACUCACAAAAACUAAAAUAAUUGAAAUGCAUCAAUUAUUUUCAACUCCUGUACCAGAAGCUAAAAUAACAAUUGUGUCAAAACCUUACCAUCAGUUAAAAUUCAGUCAUCAUGACCUCUACUAUACUCCACAUAACAAAAGACGAUUUUUCUACAGCCAUGCAACAUAACAAAUUUUGGUACAUAAUCCAAUAACAAUUGGAAAAAAAAAAAAAAAACCCUUAAAAUGCAUAAUCAUGAAAAAAGGAAGAAAACCAUCUAUGAUGAAGCAAAAACUAAAACGGUGUCGAAAAAUGAAGCCCUUAAGCCAUAAAAAUCAGUCAACUCAAGUCAUGCAUGGUCUCAGAACCAUGAAAAAAGAUAGAAAAUGACCUUUUUUUUUUUUGUGGUGGCCGGGGUUUGAACUCCGGACCUUGCAUAUUUUAUGCAUUGUCCUACCAACUAAGCUAAGCUCACGAGGACGAAGAAAAUGACCUCUUAUGAAGAAGAAAGUGAAACAGUGUUCCCGACUGAACUUAGAUACCGUUUGGUCAAGGUUUUUUACAUUAUAAAAGUUACUUCAAAACAAAGUAAAAAUAAAGGCCUUUAUGAAAGAAACUAAAGUUAUUUGGUUUUUUUGUUUUGUUAGUUUUAAAGCUAUUUAAGUUUAAUGUUGUUUGGCAAAAUAUUGUACAAACUUUGAAUUUAUUAUUUUUUAUAUGGUGUCUGGGGUUCGAACUCCGGACUUGGCAUGUAUUUAUGCAUUGUUCCUAUCAACUGAGCUAAACUCAUGAGGACAAAACUUUGAAUUUAUUAUUAAUUAACAUAAUAAAUAAAUAAAAUGUUUAGAAUAAUUUAUGAAGGCUAAAAAUGUUAAAAAAAUAAAAGAUAUUUUUUUUACAAAUACGAUAUUUACUCAAUAACGUUUAUUUUGUGUAACAUGAAUACAAAUUAAUAUCAUCAUAUAAAUAACUUGUUAAAUAUUUGAAUAGGAGAAACAAUUUAAGGAGUCUGGAAUAAUAAUAUAAAUAAUAUCAAAAUAUUUGAUUUUUUCUAUUUCAAUUAUACUCUAUAACAAAUUUCGUUAUAAGAAUACCAUAUUUUUUGUGUCUUUCAAAAAGAUAAGAAUUUAUAUUAUAUGAUAUUAUAUUUGUUACAUUGUUGGUGUCAUGGAAACAGAUAUGUUUAAUUUUUUUGAACAUGAAAAUGAUAUGCAUAGUUUGUUACGAUAUAAAGGUGCAAUAUAUAUAUAUAUAUACACCUUUUUAGGCAUCUAUACCUUUUUUUGAAGAAAAGACAUCUACAAUUUUACUUUUAAUUAAAAUUUAAAUUUUAUAAAAAUAAUCAUACGCAUUAUGCAACGCUAAAAAAAAUUAUACACAUUAGCGUAACAAAAAAACAGACACACAUAAAGAAUUACUCUAAACGCUAAUGUGUAUGUGCGUAUAUAUUUGCGAGGUUGAAGAAAGAAAAUACAAAUAUUUGAUAUCAUUAAAUGACAGCGUGAAUAAAAAUAUUUGUGAAGUUGUGAUGAUUAAACGAUAUUGAAAUUAUAAGUGAUAAAAAGAUAAUAAAAUUCCUUUGAAAAAAAGGUAAUAAAAUUAAAUGGAACCUCCUUAAAAAAAAUUAAAUUGAACGCUUCAAAUUAAAUGGAAGAAAAAAAUAUAUUGAAGUAUAAUAUUAAAAAAUAAAAAAAAAGGUUCCCAACGUGAAUUGAAGAGAGAUGCUUGUGAAAUAAAUUGUCGAGAAGUAGUUUUUUGAAGAAGCAUUCAACAACUUUUGGUCAAAGUUCAUUGCAUUCAAUUUUAUGCAUUAAAAAAGGUACAUUUUUUAGAAAGUACUUAAUUGAUAUUGUAUUUGACCUAACUUCUCCUUAAAAAUAUAGGGAAGUUGAAAAAAAAAACCGGGUCAAACGGUAUCUUAAUUUCCCACAACGGCAGUGUAGAAACAACUGAAUUUGGGAGAAAAAAAUUGGAAAAUAGUUAAAAAUAAAAAAAAUUGAAAAAUAGUUAAAAAAAAUCGGUGAGGUAGCACCUAACCAAACAACACUAAAAAAAAUUAUAUGCAUCAGCGUAACAAAAAAACAGACAGACGGACAUAAAAUAUUACUCUAAACGUUAAUGUGUGUGUAUAUAUUCGCGAGGUUGAAGAAAGGAAAUAAAAAUAUUUGGUAUCAUUAAAUGACAGCGUGAAUAAAAAUAUUUGUGAGGUUGUGAUGAUUAAACAAUAUUGAAAUUAAAAUAAUUAAUAUUGUGUUUGACCCAACUUCUCCUUAAAAAUUUAGAGAAGUUGGAAAAAAGUCGGGUCAAGCGAUACCUUAAUCUCCCACAACGGUAAUGUAGAAGCCACUGAAUUUGGGAGAAAAAAUUGGAAAAUAGUUAAAACUAAAAAAUAAAAAAAUCGGUGAGGUAGCACCCAACCAAGCAACACCAAAAAAAAAUUAUAUGCAUUAUCGUAACAAAAAAAUAGACAAACAGACAUAUAAUAUUACUCGAAACAUUAAUGUGUGUGUAUAUUCGCGAGGUUGAAGAAAGGAAAUAAAAAUAUUUGAUAUCAUUAAAUGACAACGUGAAUAAAUAUAUCUGUGAGGUUGUGAUGAUUAAAUAAUAUUUAAAUUAAAAUAAUUGAUAUUGUGUUUGACCUAACUUCUCCUUAAAAAUGUAGAGAAUUUGGAAAAAAGCCGGGUCAAACGAUACCUUAGUCUCCCACAACGGCAAUGUAGAAGCAACUGAAUUUGGGAGAAAAAAUUGAAAAAUAGUUAAAAACAUAAAAAUUGGAAAAUAGUUAAAAGUUAUUAAAAAUUAGAAAAUAAUUUAAAAAAUUGGUGAGGGGCAAAAUGGGAAAUUUGGCAUAAAAAAGAUGAGGUGGCACCAAACCAAACCCACCAAUUAGAAAAUUACUUAAAUGCCCAUUCCAGGGACAAAAUGGGAAUUUCAUAUGGCAUCAAUUUUAAUAGAGUAUAUAGACCACUCACAUUACACAAAUGUUGAAAUAUAUGAUGCAUAUUACUUUUUAAAUUUUUGGUUUAUAGUUGCAUUUUUUUUAGGGUUAAUAGUGUUUUUCACCCUUGUAAUAUAUGUCAUUUUCGGUUUUCGACCCUAUAAAAUUUUUAGUUUUAUUUUAACCCUCGUAAAAUUUUUAUUUUCCGGAAAAGACCCUUAAUAGGCCAUUCAAAAACCAAAAUUUCUUGAAAAAAAUUCUGAAAAUGGCCUAUUAGGGGUCUUUUCCGGAAAAUAAAAAUUAUACGAGGGACCACCUGUUGAGAAACCACCUGUACACAAGCCACCAGUUGAGAAGCUACCUGUUUACAAGCCACCUGUAGAGAAACCUCCGGUGUACAAGCCACCUGUUGAGAAGCCCCCAGUUUACAAACCUCCAGUAGAGAAGCCUCUAGUGCACAAGCCACCAGUUGAUAAACCACCUGUACACAAGCCACCAGUUGAGAAGCUACCUGUUUACAAGCCACCUGUAGAGAAACCUCCGGUGUACAAGCCACCAGUUGAGAAGCCCCCAGUUCACAAACCUCCAGUAGAGAAGCCUCCAGUUCACAAACCUCAAGUGGAGAAGCCACCUGUAUACAAGCCACCAGUUGAGAAGUUUCCAAUUUACAAACCUCUAGUAGAGAAGCCUCCAGUGCACAAGCCACGAGUUGAGAAACCACCUGUACACAAGCCACCAGUUGAGAAGCUACCUUUUUACAAGCCACCUGCAAAGAAACCUCCGGUGUACAAGCCACCAGUUGAGAAG
rnacentral:lncRNA from 1 species